rnacentral:rRNA from 1 species
UACGGAGGGGGCUAGCGUUGUUCGGAAUUACUGGGCGUAAAGCGCACGUAGGCGGCUUUGCAAGUUAGAGGUGAAAGCCCAGGGCUUAACCCCGGGUCGGCCGUGGCAACUGCUGGGCUGGAGCACAGUAGAGGCGGGUGGAAUUCCGGGUGUAGCGGUGGAAUGCGUAGAGAUCCGGAAGAACACCGGUGGCGAAGGCGGCCCGCUGGGCUGUUGCUGACGCUGAGGCGCGACAGCGUGGGGAGCAAACAGG